rnacentral:rRNA from 1 species
GUCCACGCCGUAAACGAUGGGUACUAGGUGUUCGGGGUAUUGACCCCCUGAGUGCCGCAGCUAACGCAUUAAGUACCCCGCCUGGGGACUACGGCCGCAAGGCUAAAAACUCAAAAGGAAUUGACGGGGGCCCGCACAAGCGGUGGAGCAUGUGGUUUAAUUCGACGCAACGCGAAGAACCUUACCUGGGCUAGACAACAUCGGACAGCCCCAGAAAUGGGGUCUCCCCGCAAGGGGCCGGUGGUUCAGGUGCUGCAUGGCUGUCGU